AGGUCUAUACCCGAGAAUUAAUAGUCAUCUAUGCCUGGUCCUAUUGUAUUUAAUAUUUCUCACUGAUUUAGAAGAGAUGACAUACUUCUCUGUCUUGAAGAUGGAAGGAACUGUGAAUGUACUGGCUGAUAGAAUUGGUAUCUAAAAAGAUCUUGACAGUUUAGAAUGAUGGGCCAUGUGUAGUAAUGAGCUUCCUUUCACUUUAAGUCUUCCAGCAGAGCCUGGAAGAUAAUUUUUAUAGGGUGGUAACUAAAAGUAAGUACUCAAUAAUAUUGAGUUGAUGAUGGCUAGAUCAGUUUUCAUUUUUUAAAAGAUAAAAUAUUACAUUAAGUGUCAGGAACAUCAUCUUUGUUUCAGCAGGUCCUUUUGGGUAUAGAUCUGUGUUACAGGAGUCAGCCUUGCCAAAGAAGAUGAAAUGGGAGAAUGACAAGACAAAUGGAAACAGGACAAACUUUGCUUCUUUCCUUCAAGCCAAACAAAGACGAAAAGUAAACAGCAAGUGUGUAAAAAUGAAUGUCUCCUAUUAA
rnacentral:lncRNA from 1 species